rnacentral:rRNA from 1 species
AAUGAACGUUGGCGGCGUGGAUUAGGCAUGCAAGUCGUGCGGGCGUAGCAAUACGUCAGCGGCGAAAGGGAGAGUAAUACGUGGAUACCAACCCCUGGGUCGGGGAUAGCCACGGGAAACUGUGGGUAAUACCCGAUAACGUCUCCGGACCAAAGGUGUGAUUCCGCCUGGGGACGGGUCCGCGUCCUAUUAGCUAGUUGGUAGGGUAAUGGCCUACCAAGGCGAAGAUGGGUACGGGGUGUGAGAGCAUGCCCCCGCUCACUGGGACUGAGACACUGCCCAGACACCUACGGGUGGCUGCAGUCGAGAAUCUUCGGCAAUGGGCGCAAGCCUGACCGAGCGACGCCGCGUGCGGGAUGAAGGCCUUCGGGUUGUAAACCGCUGUCAGUGGGGAGGAAAUGCCGGUGGGUUCUCCCAUCGGUUUGACCUAUCCGCAGAGGAAGUACGGGCUAAGUUCGUGCCAGCAGCCGCGGUAAUAC